UAACCUGCCUGGUAGCGGGGGGUAACUAUUGGAAACGAUAGCUAAUACCGCAUAACAGUAGAUAUCGCAUGAUAGCUGCUUAAAAGGUGCAAUUGCACCACUACCAGAUGGACCUGCGUUGUAUUAGCUAGUUGGUGAGGUAACGGCUCACCAAGGCCACGAUACAUAGCCGACCUGAGAGGGUGAUCGGCCACACUGGGACUGAGACACGGCCCAG
rnacentral:rRNA from 1 species